CAAGUACUCCAUCCGUCCGGAAUUACUUGCCAUCAAAAUGGAUGUGUCUAGAACUAAAAUACAUCUAGAUACAUCCAUUUCAAUGACAAGUAUUUUCGGACGUAGGGAGUACAAG
rfam:Triticum aestivum genome assembly, contig: Triticum_aestivum_CS42_TGACv1_scaffold_262620_3DL